UACAGAGGGUGCGAGCGUUGUUCGGAAUUAUUGGGCGUAAAGCGCGUGUAGGCGGCUUGGCAAGUCGGAUGUGAAAGCCCUCGGCUUAACCGAGGAAGUGCGUUCGAAACUGCCUGGCUUGAGUACCGGAGAGGGUGGCGGAAUUCCUGGUGUAGCGGUGGAAAUGACGUAGAUAUCAGGAGGAACACCGGUGGUGUAGACGGCUUCUGGACCGUAACUGACGCUGAGACACGAAAGCGUGGGUAGCAAACAGG
rnacentral:rRNA from 1 species